rnacentral:rRNA from 1 species
CUGACGUGAGUAACGACAAAACGGGUGAAAAACCCGUUCGCCGAAAGACCAAGGGUUCCAGUCCAACGUUAAUCGGGGCUGGGUGAGUCGACCCCUAAGGCGAGGCCGAAAGGCGUAGUCGAUGGGAAAAUGGUUAAUAUUCCAUUACUUCUGUGUAAUGCGAUGAGAGGACGGAGAAGGCUAAAUCAGCCUGGCGUUGGUUGUCCAGGUGAAAGGAUGUAGGCAUGUAUCUUAGGCAAAUCCGGGGUACUCUAUGCUGAGAUCUGAUAGCAAGCUGUACUUGUACAGCGAAGUGGUUGAUGCCAUGCUUCCAGGAAAAGUCUCUAAGCUUCAGUUACACAGGAAUCGUACCCGAAACCGACACAGGUGGUCAGGUCGAGUAGACCAAGGCGCUUGAGAGAACUCUGCUGAAGGAACUAGGCAAAAUGGUACCGUAACUUCGGGAGAAGGUACGCUGUUGUUGGUGAUGGAACUCGCUUCCUGAGCUGACGACAGCCGCAGAAACCAGGCCGCUGCAACUGUUUAUUAAAAACAUAGCACUCUGCAAACACGAAAGUGGACGUAUAGGGUGUGAUGCCUGCCCGGUGCUGGAAGGUUAAUUGAUGGGGUUAGCGUAAGCGAAGCUCUUGAUCGAAGCCCCAGUAAACGGCGGCCGUAACUAUAACGGUCCUAAGGUAGCGAAAUUCCUUGUCGGGUAAGUUCCGACCUGCACGAAUGGCAUAAUGAUGGCGGCGCUGUCUCCAGCAGAGGCUCAGUGAAAUCGAAAUCGCUGUGAAGAUGCAGUGUACCCGCGGCUAGACGGAAAGACCCCGUGAACCUUUACUGCAGCUUGACACUGAACUUUGACCUUACUUGUGUAGGAUAGGUGGGAGGCUUUGAAGCUGGAACGCUAGUUCCAGUGGAGCCGUCCUUGAAAUACCACCCUGGUAAUGUUGAGGUUCUAACUCUGUCCCGUGAUCCGGGACGAGGACCGUGUCUGGUGGGUAGUUUGACUGGGGCGGUCUCCUCCUAAAGAGUAACGGAGGAGUACGAAGGUGCGCUCAGCGUGGUCGGAAAUCACGCGUAGAGUAUAAAGGCAAAAGCGCGCUUAACUGCGAGACCCACAAGUCGAGCAGGUACGAAAGUAGGUCUUAGUGAUCCGGUGGUUCUGUAUGGAAGGGCCAUCGCUCAACGGAUAAAAGGUACUCUGGGGAUAACAGGCUGAUACCGCCCAAGAGUUCAUAUCGACGGCGGUGUUUGGCACCUCGAUGUCGGCUCAUCUCAUCCUGGGGCUGAAGCAGGUCCCAAGGGUAUGGCUGUUCGCCAUUUAAAGAGGUACGCGAGCUGGGUUUAGAACGUCGUGAGACAGUUCGGUCCCUAUCUACCGUGGGCGCUGGAAAUUUGAGAGGAUCUGCUCCUAGUACGAGAGGACCAGAGUGGACGAACCUCUGGUGUACCGGUUGUGACGCCAGUCGCAUCGCCGGGUAGCUAUGUUCGGAAGGGAUAACCGCUGAAAGCAUCUAAGCGGGAAGCCUACCUCAAGAUAAGAUUUCCCUAGGACUUUAUGUCCUCUAAAGAGCCGUUCGAGACUAGGACGUUGAUAGGUUGGAUGUGGAAGCAUAGUGAUAUGUGAAGCUGACCAAUACUAAUUGCUCGUGAGGCUUGACUA